AGCGAACGCUGGCGGCAGGCCUAACACAUGCAAGUCGAACGAACCUUUCGGGGUUAGUGGCGGACGGGUGAGUAACACGUGGGAACGUGCCUUUAGGUUCGGAAUAACUCAGGGAAACUUGUGCUAAUACCGAAUGUGCCCUUCGGGGGAAAGAUUUAUCGCCUUUAGAGCGGCCCGCGUCUGAUUAGCUAGUUGGUUGAGGUAAUGGCUCACCAAGGCGACGAUCAGUAGCUGGUCUGAGAGGAUGAUCAGCCACAUUGGGACUGAGACACGGCCCAAACUCCGACGGGAGGCAGCAGUGGGGAAUCUUGCGCAAUGGGCGAAAGCCUGACGCAGCCAGGCCGCGUGAAUGAUGAAGGUCUUAGGAUUGUAAAAUUCUUUCACCGGGGACGAUAAUGACGGUACCCGGAGAAGAAGCCCCGGCUAACUUCGU
rnacentral:rRNA from 1 species